GAUGAACGCUGGCGGCGUGCCUAAUACAUGCAAGUCGAGCGAACAGACGAGGAGCUUGCUCCUUUGACGUUAGCGGCGGACGGGUGAGUAACACGUAGGUAACCUACCUAUAAGACUGGGAUAACUUCGGGAAACCGGAGCUAAUACCGGAUAAUAUUUCGAACCGCAUGGUUCGAUAGUGAAAGAUGGCUUUGCUAUCACUUACAGAUGGACCUGCGCCGUAUUAGCUAGUUGGUAAGGUAACGGCUUACCAAGGCAACGAUACGUAGCCGACCUGAGAGGGUGAUCGGCCACACUGGAACUGAGACACGGUCCAGACUCCUACGGGAGGCAGCAGUAGGGAAUCUUCCGCAAUGGGCGAAAGCCUGACGGAGCAACGCCGCGUGAGUGAUGAAGGUCUUCGGAUCGUAAAACUCUGUUAUUAGGGAAGAACAAACGUGUAAGUAACUGUGCACGUCUUGACGGUACCUAAUCAGAAAGCCACGGCUAACUACGUG
rnacentral:rRNA from 1 species